rnacentral:rRNA from 1 species
GCGUUGGAUUAGCUAGUUGGUGGGGUAAAGGCCUACCAAGGCGACGAUCCAUAGCUGGUCUGAGAGGAUGAUCAGCCACACUGGGACUGAGACACGGCCCAGACUCCUACGGGAGGCAGCAGUGGGGAAUAUUGGACAAUGGGCGCAAGCCUGAUCCAGCCAUGCCGCGUGAGUGAUGAAGGCCCUAGGGUUGUAAAGCUCUUUCACCGGUGAAGAUAAUGACGGUAACCGGAGAAGAAGCCCCGGCUAACUUCGUGCCAGCAGCCGCGGUAAUACGAAGGGGGCUAGCGUUGUUCGGAUUUACUGGGCGUAAAGCGCACGUAGGCGGACUAUUAAGUCAGGGGUGAAAUCCCGGGGCUCAACCCCGGAACUGCCUUUGAUACUGGUAGUCUUGAGUUCGAGAGAGGUGAGUGGAAUUUCCCAGUGUAGAGGUGAAAUUCGUAGAUAUUYGGAGGAACACCAGUGGCGAAGGCGGCUCACUUGGCUUCGAAUACUGACGC